GCUGUAGAUACCCAGGAAAGCCUGCCUGUUGCUCCCAUUUUGGUAAUAACCAUCACUGUUGGAGAAUGUCUCUACUGUGCCAAGCUCACAGCUACAGACACUGCCUUCUACACAGCAGAAGCAGCUCUGGACAUCUAAGAAGUUCCUCUCCUGUAGGUGAGGAGGGAAGGAGGUGGGAGAUGUGUGGAGGAAAUAGAUGUGAUCCUGGGUCUAGAACUAGAAUUAGAAAGAGAGAGGCUUCACUUACCAAAGGGCCCCCAGAGUACCAGGUACUGUGUUAGGCAGAAGGGAUAUAAUACAAACAGCCCAUGCCCUCAUGGUGCUUACAGAUUUACCUUGUACAGCAGGUAAACUGGACUCAGAUUGAGGGAUUUAUCUAUAUAAAAAUCACAAAUGCCACAGGUUGAUGUAGUUAUGUACACAAAGCAUCUAGUCCAGUGUCUGGAUCACACCAGAUAAUUGAUAAGGUUUUUUCCCCCUCUGUUCUUCCCCCUCUCUCCUACUGAGCCUGAAACUUAAUAGUCUACAUAGAAACUUCUGAAAAACAAUAGACAGAUGGCCAGUGGCAGAUUCCUUGUAUAUAUAAUCAGUGCUCCAACAUCUUUGUUAUUAUCUAGCACCCUCCCCCCUCCUUUUAUUUCACUGCCUAUUUCCUUUGGGGGAUGAUUUCAUUUCUCCCCCAAGGUUGUCCUUGAUGUUCUUUUUAACCUAAUUCCACCCACAUACCAUAUGCUGGAGGGUGUUGGUACAGAGGAAAGGCGCUGAGAUUUGUUCUGCAUCCUGCACCUGCCCGGGGCUGGACUUGCCUAUAUAUAAAUAGCAAUGAGCAGCAGGAAUUUCUGAAAUGUCAAGCUAAGGGAACAGGCAGGUCCCUCUGCUCUGUUUGGGAGUGUGCAGAAUGGCAUCCAUUGACUGGCAUGGCAGUGCUUUCAAAUCCCUGAGCACAGGUGGAGUGGCUCCAGCCCUAUCCCUUCCAUCUAUGCUCAUCUGAGCUGCCUGAGAUUCUAAGGCCACUGCUCAAAACAAGAGUGAAGGAAACAAAGGGGAAUCAGUGGGUCCUACAUUGCUCUUAUGAUUGAAGGUAUAGGCUUCCAGGCCCUAUUGACGUGGUUCAGAAACACCCUUCACCACGUACAAGCUGUCUUUCCUGUGGCAAGCCCAUAAUGAAUGGGAACCUACAUAUCCUAAUUUUAAAAACAGAAGGUGUGUCAUCAGCCAUCUACAUAAGAACACCCAGCUUGAUCAAUGAUGCCAGGCAACUUUUUUUCUGCAACUUCCACCAAAUGCUUUGCUACCUUCUUAAUUUUUCUCUUUCUCCCCUAUUCCUAUCUUGCUAUUAACGUAUCCCCACUGACUCUCUCUUCAAAAUAAAUUAAGAAUUUAAAUCCAACCAUGUCUCUCUCACUUCCUUUUGUUCUUGGGGUUCCUUUUCUCAGAGCCCAGCCCUGAGCAUCCUGUAUCAUGUCCUCUUGUAUUUCUUCUUCUCCCAAGUUAUUUUGUCCAUGGGACUUGUUUCCAUUUAGUGCUCAUUUUCUGUCUCCCAGUUAUGGUCUGAAUGUUUGUGAUCCCCCCUCACCAAAUCCAUAUGUUGAAAUCCCAACCCAAUCCCAAACACUGAAUUUACCUGCAGCUUGAUCUUAGACUUCUCAACCUCCCAAACUUGGGCAAUAAAUAAAUAAAUGUUAUUUAUAAGCUAACCAUCUAUAUUAUUUUUUUUCAGCAACCCGAGUGGACUAAAGCAGUCUCAACCGCCACCACAAGACUAGAUGAUAAACUCCAUGAUGUUCAGGGUUUUGCAUAAUGUGUUCACUGCUGUCUCCUUGUGCAUAGUCUGGUACAAUGUUGUUCUUGUGAGGAUCCAUGUCAAGAAAAGCUUUCAGUCCUUUGAUUGAACCAGAAACUAUCUGAAAGUCACCUCGCAGGGACCCACUGUGUUACUUCUUACACAUUUGGAAUCAUAGGGAGCUUUUCUUUGAUGCUAUUCAGCAGCAACAGAAGCUAACUUCAAAUUCUAGGACACUGCUCUGUGAGAAGCUCCCAGAGGACAAGUUGCUCGAUCCCUUUUAAAAGGAAAAAAAUAAUAUCAAGUUUUCUGUAUCAAAAACAAUGUAUGAAGCUUGCAUAUUGAGCUAUAGGGAUGCUGCUGCUGCUGCUGCUGCUGCUGCUACUGUUGUUGCUGCUUCAUGACAGAACUUCUGGUCGCCUAGUUGCCAAUCACCAGCAUCAGGAUCUCCUAGGAAUAAUGUUCAAGUACUGAUACCCAGGACUCAUGCCUGACUGUCCUACUUUAUUGCCAUGAUUCCUACAUUGUUCAUGUUAAAAUGUUACAUCAGCAGUGACAACAGCAUCUUAUGUCCCUGGUUGUCAUAGGCUAUAAUAAGUAUACAAUAAGUGGCCCAGGAGUCCAGAUGCUAAACCAAGAAAAAUCACACAAUUCUUAUGCCUACCAUUUAAGUUAUGUAGAUUGAUUGAACAUAAAGGUAUUGGCUAGAGCUGAAGGAAAAUAACAAACCUACACUUGAAUGUGAAGUGAGGCACUUUUAUACCAUGCAUGGAUAGAGUGGGGUGGGUAGGUAAUGGUUGCAGUUCACUGUAUAAAGAAACAUACAGGACAAUAGACUUCUACCUAGAUAUGUCAGAGUUAUCUAGUAUGGAAAAUGCAGAGUCAUAAUGGAGUUCUAGAAACGCUAUCUUUGCCAAGUUUAGUUUGACUAUAUAUAUAUAUAAUAUAUAUAUAUAUAUAUUUCCCAUAACAUUUUUUUGUUAAGAAUAUUAAAAAUUGCCUGACCUAAAGACAGGCCUUGAGAAUAUGCUAGAAGAGCAAUUGUUCCAUUGGUUCCCUUGGUAUUUUCAGCUUGGAUGCAAAUUUUUAUGGGUCCUGUAAGCAUAGAUCCAUAUGGGAAAGUCUCUAUUUCAAAGAGUAGUAGGGUACUGAAUAUAUAAAUUACCCAAAUACCCAGAAUCUGUGUUUUAUUCUCCUAAUACUGAGUCAUGACAUUGAGUUCUAGAACACCUGGAACCUGACAAGAUUAAUUAUGUAAUUAACUUCAUUUCAGUGAUGAAAAAAGAAAAUGAAAAUUAUUUUCUAUUUUAUCCCUAAGAGCUAGAACUUGGAAAAACUUUUCAUUGUUUGAAAUUAAAUAGAAGAAAGGAAGAAUACCAUCAAUAUGCAACUUGAUAUAUUUGUUUAUUAAACCUUACCUCGGUGUGUGGAGAUAAUAGUCAAGGUCAUUAAAAUCCAUAGGCCCAAAGAAGACUUGUAGCCAAAAUGACU
rnacentral:lncRNA from 1 species